UCUCGGCUUAUCACCGGCAGUCCCCCUAGAGUGCCCAACUGAAUGAUGGCAACUAAGGGCGAGGGUUGCGCUCGUUGCGGGACUUAACCCAACAUCUCACGACACGAGCUGACGACAGCCAUGCAGCACCUGUGUUCCGGUUCCCUUUCGGGCACAGCCUGAUCUCUCAGGCCUUCCGGACAUGUCAAGGGUAGGUAAGGUUUUUCGCGUUGCAUCGAAUUAAUCCACAUAAUCCACCGCUUGUGCGGGUCCCCGUCAAUUCCUUUGAGUUUUAACCUUGCGGCCGUACUCCCCAGGCGGUCGACUUCACGCGUUAGCUUCGUUACUGAGAGUGUCAAACCCCCAACAACCAGUCGACAUCGUUUAGGGCGCGGACUAC
rnacentral:misc_RNA from 1 species